rnacentral:rRNA from 1 species
CCCUUAGACGUUCUGGGCCGCACGCGCGCUACACUGACCGGUGCAACAAGCAUCCGUCCUUGGCCGACAGGCUCGGGCAAUCUUUGAACGCUGGUCGUGAUGGGGAUAGACUUUUGCAAUUUUUGGUCUUCAACGAGGAAUUCCUAGUAAACGCAAGUCAUCAACUUGCAUUGAUUACGUCCCUGCCCUUUGUACACACCGCCCGUCGCACCUACCGAUUGAAUGGUCCGGUGAAGCCUCCGGAUUGGCGCGCACCUCGGUGCCGCCGAGAAGUUGGCUAAACCUUACCAUUUAGAGGAAGGUGAAGUCGUAACA